AACGGCCAUACCAUGCUGAAUAUACCGGCUCUCGUUAGAUCACCGAAGUCAAGCAUCAUUGGGCGCGGUCAGUACUUGGGUGGGUGACCACCUGGGAACACCGCGUGCCGUU
rnacentral:rRNA from 1 species